GAUGGACGCUGGCGGCGUGCUUAACACAUGCAAGUCGAACGGUGAAGGCGGAGCUUGCUCUGCUGGAUCAGUGGCGAACGGGUGAGUAACACGUGAGCAAUCUGCCCCUGACUCUGGGAUAAGCGCUGGAAACGGCGUCUAAUACUGGAUACGAGCUGCGAAGGCAUCUUCAGCAGCUGGAAAGAAUUUCGGUCAGGGAUGAGCUCGCGGCCUAUCAGCUUGUUGGUGAGGUAAUGGCUCACCAAGGCUUCGACGGGUAGCCGGCCUGAGAGGGUGACCGGCCACACUGGGACUGCGACACGGCCCAGACUCCUACGGGAGGCAGCAGUGGGGAAUAUUGCACAAUGGGCGAAAGCCUGAUGCAGCAACGCCGCGUGAGGGACAACGGCCUUCGGGUUGUAAACCUCUUUUAGCAGGGAAGAAGCGAAAGUGACGGUACCUGCAGAAAAAGCGCCGGCUAACUACGUG
rnacentral:rRNA from 1 species